UGGUGCACGAGGCAGGUGACGUAAGUUGGUGUCAAACUCAAAGAUGUUUUUCUAUCUUUUUAGUUUUAUCACGUCGAUUCUUACUUGACUUGUAUUGUAAUCUUUAAGUUAUAAAUGAGACACAUAUUAUCAAGCAGAAAAACACGGACAAAAUAGGGUCGCGUGUUGGAAUUGACCUCAGUGCUAACUGCAAUAUUUUUCUUCCGAAUUCGCAAGAGCGAGAUGUACCUUUAGACUCAAUCGAAGCAUGUCCAAUCCCUCCGUAGCGCCAAUCUAGCAGCCUUGGUAGGCGCCUCUAGGCUGCAUGGCGCGCGAAAGUGGAAGCCCAUGAACGUCACUCCAGAUCCGCCAUGACCGCCUUUCAACGCCGCAAUGGAGUGUGGCCGGAUCUGCGCAGAAACGAAACGGACGCGGCGCCCGCAUACACGCACACAUGCUCAUAGUACGCCGUUGCAGGUACGCGCGAUGAUGGCGCCAUGAUAUCGCUUUCUUCAGCCCGGCGGCCCCUAGCCCUACGUGGGUGACAAAAGAGGAAAAAUUGGCUACGCGCGCACCCGGCCGGUGGAGGGGGGCGGCCCUCGGUAGCGAUCGAUCGAAUCCA
rnacentral:lncRNA from 1 species